UACAGAGGGUGCAAGCGUUGUUCGGAAUUAUUGGGCGUAAAGCGCGUGUAGGCGGCUUUGCAAGUCGGGUGUGAAAGCCCUCAGCUCAACUGAGGAAGUGCGCCCGAAACUGCUUAGCUUGAGUAUCGGAGAGGAUGGCGGAAUUCCCCAAGUAGAGGUGAAAAUUCGUAGAUAUGGGGAGGAACACCGGUGGCGAAGGCGGCCAUCUGGACGAUCACUGACGCUGAGACGCGAAAGCGUGGGGAGCAAACAGG
rnacentral:rRNA from 1 species